AUAAACAAUUUUUCAAAGAUUUGCUUAAAAUCUUACGUUUGCUAGUGUUUAUUUUCAAACAACACACGUGACACACGUGACUAAACCUGAUUGGUUGUUGUCAUAGUAACACGUCACGGUGCUAUUUGAAAGCUGUUGUUGUUCAGUUCAGUUCACGAGGUGCAUGCGGUUGCUUGCAUUAAACGUAUAAACUGUUAAAUUAGAUGGCGACUCUGCAUUAAACGUAUUUAUUUAAUUAAUCGGCGAUCAUAUUUCACCAGAGGACUAAGAUAAAACAACUCGAUUUAAAAUGUGAGCAGUUUUAGUGGAUCUGACGUCGAGGGAAAAAGUAUUUCGCUUUUUGUUUGGAGAUGACAGAGACAACACGAGGCACAGCGACAUAAAUAUGACCAACCAGAUCCCAAGUAGACAGGAACAAAUGAAGAUACAGCGCAUAGAAAGACUUAUUCUUGGUGAUCAACUGCUAUUGACAUUUUUGAAUCGGGACAAAUGUGGAGUGAUUCGGAAGAAAAACGUUUGCAACACAUCCAUUCCAGGUGGCUAAUUUCUGUCCUUUUGAAUUAUUCAUGUAAAACCAUUUUUUUUUUAUUGUAAAGCUGUAAGGGACUUGGCCUAGUCAUCCUUGCAUAUACCAUUUGGCAGGGCACCAGACUAACUUUUUUUACUAGGAGCACAGUGGCCCCCAACUGAAAAUUUUAGGGGCGCAACCAGAAAAUUUAGGGGCACACACGGUAAAACAACAUGCUAACCAAAUAUUCACAUGUCUAC